rnacentral:rRNA from 1 species
UGGGGAAUAUUGCGCAAUGGGCGAAAGCCUGACGCAGCGACGCCGCGUGAGGGAUGAAGGUUUUCGGAUCGUAAACCUCUGUCAGAAGGGAAGAAACCGCACUGUGCUAAUCAGCAGUGCCUUGACGGUACCUUCAAAGGAAGCACCGGCUAACUCCGUGCCAGCAGCCGCGGUAAUACGGAGGGUGCAAGCGUUAAUCGGAAUUACUGGGCGUAAAGCGCACGCAGGCUGCUUUGUAAGUCAGGGGUGAAAUCCCACGGCUCAACCGUGGAACUGCCUUUGAUACUGCUUAGCUUGAAUCCGGGAGAGGGUGGCGGAAUUCCAGGUGUAGGAGUGAAAUCCGUAGAUAUCUGGAGGAACAUCAGUGGCGAAGGCGGCCACCUGGACCGGUAUUGACGCUGAGGUGCGAAAGCGUGGGGAGCAAACAGG